GUAAAGGCUAGUGGAAGAUUUACAGGGAUUUGGUACAAAGGAGACAAUGAAGUUUUAAAUGUUGAUAGCGUUUCACACCGAACGCAUAAUGGCUCACUGUUUGAACGCGCCGUUUUGCAUUUAAACCCAUAUAUCAUCGCGGAUUUCUUUUUUUUUUUUUUUCCCUCCCCCCCGUGCGGGACGGGGGCGGUUCCGUGCCGCCGAGCAUCGCGGCGGGGCAGCACCUCCCGCUCCUCCGCGCCGGACUCGGGGCUCCGUGCGGAGCUCCCGGAGGGAGCCGCUGCCCUCCGUGCCCCUCAGCCCCGCUGUCACCGUCCCCUAAAGGUUUCGCCGCACCGGGUGGGACCGCAGCAUCCCGAGCCUCCCCGUCCCGUCGGGAGCGCCGCGAGCCCUCGCUUCCUCGGGGUCGCCCCAUUCCCCCCCCCCCUCCUCCCGCACACCCCCGGCCGUGCCAUUACCUGCAGCCGGAGGGCUCCGCGGGAAGGCUCCGCCGAGGCGAGACGCCGAGCGGCGGCUCCGCGGCACGGGGGUACGAAGCGCUCCGCGGCCGCUCUCACUCGGCGGGCAGCCCCGGCGGGGCGGGCUGGGGGCCCCGCAGGGCAGCGCGGCGCAUCCCCCGCGGGGCUCGGGGCUGGCGGCGGCGGGGCGGCGAGGCAGGAGCCCGCCCGGCGUCCCGUCCCCUCGCUGCGCUGCGACGCUACCGCCUCACAGGGGCGAGCCCGCCGUGCCCGGCGCCAGCAGCCUCCUCCCCCGCGCGGGCAUCGCCGCGGGUCCCGCUCCGCUCCAUCCAGCCGCCCUCCCCGUGCCGCCGCAGCUUUGUCAAACCGACAACCCCCCUCCUUUUUUUCCUUUUUCUUUUUCCCCCUCCCUCUCUCUCUCUCUCUCUCCCUCCGCACGCUCCUCCGACUCCUUCCUCCCUCCUCCCCUGGUCACUCCCCCCGCUGCAACCCGAGCCGUUUCCUGGACGGCGCUGCUCGGCUCUGCCAAUCGCUGCGGCCGCGGUACGGAGCCCCUGCCCCCGCCGCCCAGCCCGGCCCGGCCCGGCCCUGCCCCGUCCCCGCUCCGAGAGCGGACGCUGCUCGGCCCGGCCCGCUGCGCUGCCCGGUGGGGAGGGCGAGGCGGCCUCCCCCAGCCCAGACGCAGCCCUCACGCCCUGCCGGCACCCGCACUCACUCACGGUACCACCGCCGCCACCUGACUGAGGGUGGUAUCCAGAAGAGUUCGUGGGACCGGGGGCCACAGCAGCGCUGCCCCAGAGCGAGGGGGUUAUUGGUGACACCCCGCAAUCACCGCCCGAGUGCACAGCGCGGGGUCAGCUGUGAGUGCGGGUGA
rnacentral:lncRNA from 1 species